AAACCCUCAAGCUCAUGCUUGGUGUUGGGCGUCUGUCCGCGCUUUCGAGCGUGGACUCGCCCCAAAUUCAUUGGCAGCGGCUCCGCCGGCUUCUCGCGCAGCACUUUGCGCUCAAGAAGGUUUUCGGCGGGCUCGCGUCCAUCAAGUCACCCCUCA
rnacentral:misc_RNA from 1 species